AUGUUCAUGUCGCAGCUGCUGGGCGGGCCGGAGGACGUGGCCCUGCUGUCGCGGCACGGGGUCAUUGAGCACCACCUGGGCGACGACGCCGAGGUGUGCGCGCUGUUCCGGGGGCUGGCGCAGGGGCUCGUCUUCGACCCGUCCGGCGGGCACUACCUGAGCACGGUGGGCGUGAGGCUGCGGUCGCACCACCGGUCGCGCCUCAACCGGUGGCGUGCCUGGGUCAUGCGGCACCGCUUCCGCAACCCGUGGCUCGCCGUGGCGUGGGUCUUGGGCUCCAUGGCCGUGCUGGGCACCAUCGUCCAGACUGUGAUCACUCUGCUUCCCUACGUGCAUCAUCAAGGACGCACGCGCAACAUCGGAAGCUAG
rnacentral:rRNA from 1 species